GAGGAAUAUUGGACAAUGGGUGAAAGCCUGAUCCAGCCAUCCCGCGUGAAGGAUGACGGUCCUAUGGAUUGUAAACUUCUUUUGUACAGGGAUAAACCUACCCUCGUGAGGGUAGCUGAAGGUACUGUACGAAUAAGCACCGGCUAACUCCGUGCCAGCAGCCGCGGUAGUACGGAGGGUGCAAGCGUUAUCCGGAUUUAUUGGGUUUAAAGGGUCCGUAGGCGGACCUGUAAGUCAGUGGUGAAAUCUCAUAGCUUAACUAUGAAACUGCCAUUGAUACUGCAGGUCUUGAGUAAAUUUGAAGUGGCUGGAAUAAGUAGUGUAGCGGUGAAAUGCAUAGAUAUUACUUAGAACACCAAUUGCGAAGGCAGGUCACUAAGAUUUAACUGACGCUGAUGGACGAAAGCGUGGGUAGCGAAC
rnacentral:rRNA from 1 species